GGGUUUGUGAGUCUACAAUGUCCUGUGUCUGCAGUGGUCUGCUAGGCAGCAACAAAAACUUGUUCAGGAAUGGUGAAGUUGCUAGAGCAGGUAACUCUAACUGAACUUCGAAGCAGAUUGGGGAAAGAUCGGUGCAAAACUCAGGAAACCGCUAGAGAAACCACAUGAAUGCACAAUAUUGCAGAGAAGUAGGAAGAAAACCUGCUCACAACACCAUCCCUCCAACCCAGGGCAAAAUAACCUGUGUCGAAAUGGCCUAAGGUUGUCUAUGUGACAGGAGAAAGACAUUUUGAAGAAGCAGUUGAGACUCGAAGCUGCAAAGGGACCCUCAUCUGCUUCGCCAUAUGGAGACUUCCUGCCUGUGUAAAAUGAAGUGGAAUGCAAAAAAAGAAAAAAGAAAAAAGUUGGACUUGAAAAAAUGCGGCACUAAUGUUCAGUGGUGUGAUUCUCCUGCUGAGAUAAAUUGUUGUUAAAGUAAAUAAUUGCUGUCUCCAAUAGUUGCCCCCCCCCCAUUGCACCUUUAGGGUAUUCUUAAAGCUCUUAAGCUGCUAUGUACAAACACUCAAUUUGGGGGAAUGGAAGUGACUUUUCCAAUAGCACUAUAGCUGCUCUGGCUAUGAAGAAACAGCCAAUGUGGAGAUGCCCAAAAUAACAGAAGGAGCACUGAUCAAAUGCAGCUUUCCCAAGACCACACUGUAACUCUCCACUGCAGCAAUACAGUAAGGCUGACUGCCUGCCUGCAUCUCUCAGAGGGUGCUAGCAAGAGGAUCGUGGCCUCAGAA